UGAGCCGCGUUACCGAUCUUUAGACACUAAAAAUUGCUUGAAGCCAUUCUCGAUCACCCUUACUGCCUGACGGGAAGGUUCCGGAGGACUCUGCGUUUGGUGCGUGCCCCAUUAGAUGCAGAUGACACCGUGUCUGAUGGUCCAUGAUCCAUUAUACCCUGCGUUAUAAGGUAGGUUAAGUCUUUAAAACGUCUCAUUACCCACCUCAUUAGAUUCACCAAGAAGCUACGAGUCCAGACAGACUUUUCUGUGCGACCGAACCUGUUGGACCAUGGGCAGAUCCCAGUUCCGCGUUCCUCUCUCCGGAUCUCCCUCGCUAAUUCAGUCCUAUCUGGAUCUUCACGCUUUACGCAAAAACUUUUCCUCUUCAAGACCUAGGAUGGGUUGCAUAAACGUACACUAAAGGCCCGUUCAAAAAAAAUUGAUAUUGCUUGAACGCUCGUUAGCGUUGAUGGAUCUGUAAUUUCUUGGCUACUGGGCCAGUACUAACAGGUCCAAUUUUGUAUCUGUAAUUAACAUAUCUAAAAAAUAUGGGAAAAACAGGAAAAUUGGUACAUUUAAUAAAUAUAACUAAAGAGAAUAUAUAAUGCUUAUUCAAUUAUCUUACGAUAAUAUGACAUAUAUAUAUAAAUAUAAUGUUGACAAAG